GCCCAAGUGGUGGAAUUAGGUAGACACGAUAGACUCAAAAUCUAUUGAGAUUUUUCUCGUACCGGUUCGAUUCCGGUCUUGGGUA
rnacentral:tRNA from 1 species